UACGUAGGGUGCAAGCGUUGUCCGGAAUUAUUGGGCGUAAAGAGCUCGUAGGCGGUUUGUCACGUCGGAUGUGAAAACCCGAGGCUUAACCUCGGGCCUGCAUUCGAUACGGGCUGACUAGAGUUCGGUAGGGGAGACUGGAAUUCCUGGUGUAGCGGUGAAAUGCGCAGAUAUCAGGAGGAACACCGGUGGCGAAGGCGGGUCUCUGGGCCGAUACUGACGCUGAGGAGCGAAAGCUAGGGUAGCAAACGGG
rnacentral:rRNA from 1 species